AGGAAGGCGAUAAGGUUAAUAACCUUGUCGAUUGACGUUACCCGCAGAAGAAGCACCGGCUAACUCCGUGCCAGCAGCCGCGGUAAUACGGAGGGUGCAAGCGUUAAUCGGAAUUACUGGGCGUAAAGCGCACGCAGGCGGUCUGUCAAGUCGGAUGUGAAAUCCCCGGGCUCAACCUGGGAACUGCAUUCGAAACUGGCAGGCUAGAGUCUUGUAGAGGGGGGUAGAAUUCCAGGUGUAGCGGUGAAAUGCGUAGAGAUCUGGAGGAAUACCGGUGGCGAAGGCGGCCCCCUGGACAAAGACUGACGC
rnacentral:rRNA from 1 species